AUUGAACGCUGGCGGCAGGCCUAACACAUGCCAGUCGAGCGGAUGAAGGGAGCUUGCUCCUGGAUUCAGCGGCGGACGGGUGAGUAAUGCCUAGGAAUCUGCCUGGUAGUGGGGGAUAACGUCCGGAAACGGGCGCUAAUACCGCAUACGUCCUGAGGGAGAAAGUGGGGGAUCUUCGGACCUCACGCUAUCAGAUGAGCCUAGGUCGGAUUAGCUAGUUGGUGGGGUAAAGGCCUACCAAGGCGACGAUCCGUAACUGGUCUGAGAGGAUGAUCAGUCACACUGGAACUGAGACACGGUCCAGACUCCUACGGGAGGCAGCAGUGGGGAAUAUUGGACAAUGGGCGAAAGCCUGAUCCAGCCAUGCCGCGUGUGUGAAGAAGGUCUUCGGAUUGUAAAGCACUUUAAGUUGGGAGGAAGGGCAGUAAGUUAAUACCUUGCUGUUUUGACGUUACCAACAGAAUAAGCACCGGCUAACUUCG
rnacentral:rRNA from 1 species